AGUCUUUUCCGCUGUGGCGGCGGUUUGCAGACGGUGGCACUCUACACGCUAACUCUGCAGAUCUCAAAGUGAAUGUUUGUGCCAUUGGGUUCCUGUGAAGUGAUUUCCCCGCUGGAGCCAGCACCAUGAACCCUGUGAUCAGAGUCCAGCAUAUACCUACAUUCACCGCUUUGCAGACUACUACUUCACUGACAGACAGUUUGCAGACGGUGCCGCUCUACACACGAAGUUCAGAUGCUACAUGGCACCACGCAAGGACUGCAUGAGGAGAUGCCAGUUGUCAAACGUGACAGAUGGAGAAGACCAAAUUUGGAGUGGUGAUUGAUGACAGCCCUGGGGCAUGAAGCCUCUUCAGAUACCAUGGCAAAAAGCUGGGCAGCUGAAUGUAAGUCUGGGAAAAUCGGCCCCGAGGAUGAGCGAUGGUCCAAGCACACCGGAGGAAGCUGCCAUGAUGCUAGGUGUGAGCAAGAUGGGUGCCCAGAAGGCUGAGCCUUGAGCGGAGGUAAAAUGAGGAAGCAACUGUUAAGGAGGUUCAGCCUCCCACUUUGUCUCCAGGUUCCUUGCCAAGCGUCUCAGAAGAUGUCAGUCCCAUUAUGGGCUUGUAUUUUAAUCCUUUACAUUAAUGCGAUGAGCAUAAUACAUUCCCUAAAGUGAGAUGCUAACUCCUUAGCAUCAAGAUUUAGCUCCGGGAAUAGGAGUUGUGGACCCAGUUGGGCUCAGUGAAAAUGUGUUAAUAAGAAAUGAAGGGGCAGAGAUGGUGAAAUCGAAACAAAGCUGUAUGGACUUGUGCUUACUUUUUAUUUGUGCUCAGCUGAUUGAAGUAAAGCUGUGGUUUACCUCGUGUGGGUUUUAACUUGACCAACUGUAGCACAAAGUCUCAUCUACACUGGAGUGGGGUGGGGGUGGCCACUAGCAAAUGCAACCUAACAGCCUGCCUGGGCUCUCCAGAGAGCCUUGGCAAACAGAAAUGUAAAAGGGAGAUAAAUGGGGGGAAUGAACAGAUUUUGGUGCAGUGGUUCUGUCAUGAGAGUAAUGGUGGAACUUGAAGCCAGUCUCAUCUAUAGUUUAUGGCAUUUAAAGGACAAAUACCUGUUAAGGAAGGCCUGAAAAUUCUUCAAAGAAUGUUCUGAAAACUGUCUGGUGAAUAAAGGAACUGGUUUUAAAGUGUU